ACUCCGCAAUUAAGCGUGCUUGGGCGAGAGUAGUACUAGGAUGGGUGACCUCUUGGGAAGUCCUCAUUUUGCACCCC
rnacentral:rRNA from 1 species